ensembl:lncRNA
CAAACAAAUAAAUGUGCUAAAAUGUCCUGUUUAUGACAUACAGACAGAAAAGUCAUCCAAAACCUCUUAAAGCAAACAUUUAGUUCAUCAAAUUGAUGGAAAAUACUGUAUAAUAAUAAUAAUAAUACUGUUUUUUCCAUGAACCAUUAGAACAAACCCUCUGAGCGCUGAGGUCAGCAUCUACACCUCCGACCACCGGGUUCGGGCUCACGGCGUGCGGACAGGAGGCCACAUGACGACAUGGCGUCUCUAAACAAGACAAACCGGAGACGUCCGGUUCUAGCGUGAUCGCCAUGUUCUUCAUGCACCAAGCCGGGCAGCGCGAGAAGCUUCUGCAAAGCGCUCUGCAGCCAACGAGCGAAAAACACACACAGGGAAGCUGCCUGGAGACGGAGACACGUUUGGAUGUCGGUCAGGAUCAAUACAACGCUGUUUGUAGACCAGAAAAACAUUUACAACGCGUUUUAAUUAUGCUUUAAUAACAUUCUAAAGAGUGCAAAGUACUGACUCCCAACCCCCUCAUCGGGUCACGUAUCGUAUCGCCGGCUUCACGGCAUAUUUUUCUGUUAACAUCUCGAAUAUGUCAUUCCACGAUUUCUGUUUUUAUCAUAUUUGAGAUUUACAAUUCUCUAAAGCUGCCAUAUCGCACAUAUAUGGUGUCUACCAAAAGUUUUUUAGAUGUGAAUGAUUUUAAUCACUGGCUUGAAUUUAAAUACCAAACUGCUGCUUCUUCUUAAGAUAAUUGUGAACAGGUGAACAAUCUCGUCUGUGAUGAAACCCAACGAAGAAAAAACGGUGAAAAAGGCCUGAAGAGUCAAACCGCUUUGACUCGUUUUUAGGAUCUGAGUCAUCGGCAGGUCCCUGUGCUCAAACGUGGGGCCCGGGGCCCCCCCCCGACAUGCACAGCGUCCCGGGACACAUGGACAGCCAGCCAGGAAGCGCGGACCACCUGUCCCCCCGACCCCCCCGGACACAUUACCUCGCUGCUGUCUGCUGCACGCUGUGCACGCAUUUAGUGUGAUGGUACGCAUAAUCGGUUUUGACCUGGCUCUUCUUAGACCGAACUGUGACUUUGGAAGCCAUGACGGGAACACUCUCAGGACAGCUGGCCAGUUGGGGGGAGGGGACCAAAGGGAUUAAAAGAGCGCAAAGCGGUGGAAGACCAGCCUGAUGCCGCCUGGGAAGCUCUACACAAAUAUUACCCUCUCACAGGGGGAACGCUGCUCCCCUUCCACCCCAUGUAUGGGCGCACUUAAG